GAUAGCUCAGCCGGUAGAGCACCUGACUGUUAAUCAGGCUGUCACAGGUUCGAAUCCUGUUC
rnacentral:tRNA from 2 species